UACGUAGGGGGCAAGCGUUGUCCGGAAUCAUUGGGCGUAAAGCGCGUGUAGGCGGCCACGUUAGUCCGCUCUGAAAGCCCGGGGCUCAACCCCGGGAGGCGGGUGGAUACUGCGUGGCUCGAGUCCGGAAGAGGCGAGUGGAAUUCCUGGUGUAGCGGUGAAAUGCGCAGAUAUCAGGAGGAACACCAAUGGCGAAGGCAGCUCGCUGGGACGUGACUGACGCUGAGACGCGACAGCGUGGGGAGCAAACAGG
rnacentral:rRNA from 1 species